rnacentral:rRNA from 1 species
CCUACGGGAGGCAGCAGUGGGGAAUUUUGGACAAUGGGCGCAAGCCUGAUCCAGCAAUGCCGCGUGAGUGAAGAAGGCCUUCGGGUUGUAAAGCUCUUUUGUCAGGGAAGAAACGGUGGGGGCUAAUAUCUCCUGCUAAUGACGGUACCUGAAGAAUAAGCACCGGCUAACUACGUGCCAGCAGCCGCGGUAAUACGUAGGGUGCAAGCGUUAAUCGGAAUUACUGGGCGUAAAGCGUGCGCAGGCGGUUUUGUAAGUUUGUCGUGAAAUCCCCGGGCUCAACCUGGGAAUGGCGAUGAAGACUGCAAGGCUAGAAUCUGGCAGAGGGGGGUAGAAUUCCACGUGUAGCAGUGAAAUGCGUAGAGAUGUGGAGGAACACCGAUGGCGAAGGCAGCCCCCUGGGUCAAGAUUGACGCUCAUGCACGAAAGCGUGGGGAGCAAACAGGAUUAGAUACCCUGGUAGUCCACGCCCUAAACGAUGUCUACUAGUUGUCGGGUUUUAAUUAACUUGGUAACGCAGCUAACGCGUGAAGUAGACCGCCUGGGGAGUACGGUCGCAAGAUUAAAACCUCAAAGGAAUUGACGG